rnacentral:ncRNA from 1 species
AAAGAGGAAUCCGAAAAUCUGAUAGAGUAGGAA